rnacentral:rRNA from 1 species
GAUGAACGAUAGCUACAGGCUUAAAACAUGCAAGUCGAGGGAACGGCGCACGGGUGAGUAACACGUAUCCAACCUGCCCUUUACUCGGGGAUAGCCUUUCGAAAGACAGAUUAAUACCCGAUAUAAAGGAUGGGGAUGCGUUCCAUUAGGUUGUUGGUAAGGUAACGGCUACCCAAGCCUUCGAUGGAAAGGGGUUCUGUGAGGAAGGUCCCCCACAUUGGAACUGGGAAACGGUCCAAACUCCGACGGGAGGAAGCAGUGAGGAGUAUUGGUCAAUGGGCGCUAGCCUGAACCAGCCAAUUAGCGGAAAGGAUGAAGGCUUAUGGGUCGUAAACUUCUUUUAUAUAAGAAUAUGUAUUAUAUGAAUAAGGAUCGGCUAACUCCGUACCAGCAGCCGCGGUAAUUC